GCAAAGCUCAAGAUGGCGGACAAAACGCCAAGCAGAUCUCAGAAGGCCAGUUCGAAGACAAGAUCAUCAGAUGUUCAUUCAUCUGGCUCUUCAGAUGCACAUAUGGAUGCGUCUGGACCCUCAGAUAGUGAUAUGCCAAGUUGGACACGUCCUAAGAGCCCAGGAACCAUGAAAGCCUUUGUGAUUCUCAUCAGAAUCUCUCAAGACCUCUUCUAGAAAACAAACUUACAGCAUUCAGUAUUGGAAAAAUGAGUACAGCUAAACGAAAUUUAAGUAAAAAUGAACAAGAAGAAUUAAAGAAAAAGGAGGAUGAAAAGGUAGCUGCUGAAAUUUAUGAGGAAUUUCUUGCUGCUUUUGAAGAAAGUGAUGGUAAUAAAGUUAUAACAUUUGUGCGAAGAGGUGUUGUUAAUACAGCUAAAGAAGAGCAUGAAACAGAUGAAAAGAGAGGUAAAAUCUAUAAGCCAUCUUCGAGAUUUGCAGAUCAAAAAAAUCCUCCAAAUCAGUUUUCCAAUGAAAGACCACUGUCUCUUCUUGUGAUAGAAACCAAAAAACCUCCACUGAAGAAAGGGGAGAAAGAAAAGAAAAAAAGCAAUUUGGAAAUCUUCAAAGAAGAAUUAAAACAAAUUCAAGAAGAGUAUGAUGAGAGACAUAAAACAAAAUACAAGUUAAGUCAAUUUGAGCCUCCUCAGUCAGAUUCUGAUGGUCAGCGUCGUUCUAUGGACGCGCCUUCAAGAAGAAAUAGAUCAUCUGUUCUUGAUGAUUAUGCUCCUGGCUCACGUGAUGUAGGAGACCUAAGCACUACUAAUCUGUACCUUGGGAACAUUAACCCACAGAUGAAUGAAGAAAUGCUGUGCCAAGAAUUUGGAAGAUUUGGACCAUUAGCCAGUGUGAAAAUUAUAUGGCCUAGAACUGAUGAAGAAAGAGCAAGAGAGAGAAAUGUGGCUUUGUGGCCUUUAUGAAUAGAAGAGAUGCUGAAAGAGCUUUACAAAAAUAAAUGGAAAAAUGAUUAUGUCUUUUGAAAUGAAGUUAGGUUGGGGUAAAGCUGUACCUAUUUCUCCACAUCCAACAUACAUUCCGCCUUCUAUGAUGGAACAUAUGCUUCCCCCACCUCCAUCCGUACUGCCUUUCAAUGCACAGCCUAGAGAGUGCUUAAAAAACCCCAAUGCUCCCAUGUUACCACUACCUAAAAACAAGGAGGAUUUUGAGAAGACUCUGUCGCAAGCCAUAGUCAAAAUGGUUAUCCCAACAGAAAGGAAUUUGCUCGCCCUGAUACAUUGAAUGAUAGAGUUUGUUGUACGUGAAGGGCCAAUGUUUGAAGCUAUGAUUAUGAACAGAGAAAUCAACAAUCCUAUGUUCAGGUUCUUAUUCGAAAACCAGACACCAGCCCAUGUUUACUAUAGGUGGAAACUUUAUUCUAUUCUUUAGGGAGAUUCUCCAACUAAGUGGUGGAUGGAAGAUUUUCAUAUGUUCAAAAAUGGAUCUUUUUGGAGAUCAAGAAACAGAAGCUUUUGUAGAGGAGACUAGCAAAAAGGGAGCACUUAAGGAAGAGCAGAGGGAUAAAUUAGAAGAAAUCUUGCGGGGAUUAACUCCGAGGAAAAAUGAUAUUGGAGAUGCCAUGGUUUUCUGUCUUAAUAAUGCUGAAGCUGCUAAAGAAAUAGUGGAUUGCAUUACCGAAUCAUCGUCUGUCUUAAAGACACCCCAUCCUAAAAAGAUUGCUAGAUUAUAUUUGGUUUCUGAUGCUUUAUACAAUUCUUCAGCCAAAGUUGCCAAUGUUUCAUAUUAUAGAAAAGUUUUUGAAACCAAGUUAUGUCAGAUAUUUUCAGAACUCAAUGCUACCUAUCGUGCAAUUCAAGGCCAUUUGCAAUCUGAAAACUUUAAGCAAUGGGUAAUGACAUGCUUCAGAGCAUGGGAAGAUUGGGAAAUUUAUCCAGAACCAUUUUUGAUCAAACUACAGAAUAUUUUCUUAGGACUUGUAAAUAUUAUUGAAGAAAAGGAAACAGAGGAUGUACAUGAUGACAUCGAUGAAGAAAGAGGAAGAGCUUGAUGGUGCACCUCUGGAAGAUGUGGAUGGCAUUCCUAUUGAUGCUACUCCCAUCUAUGAUCUUGAUGGAGUCCCUAUAAAAUGUCUUGAUGAUGAUCUUGAUGGUGUGCCUUUGGAUGCAACCGAAGACUCGAAGAGGAAUGAGCCUAUAUUUAAAGUAGCCCCAUCAAAAUGGGAAGCUGUAGAUGAAUCUGAAUUGGAAGCACAGGCUGUAACAACUUCUAAAUGGGAGUUAUUUGACCAGCAUGAAGAAUCAAAAGAAGAGGAAAAUAAAAAUCAAGAAGAAGAAAGUGAAGAUGAAGAAGAUACUCAAAGUUCUAAAUCUGAAGAACAUCAUCUGUACUCUAAUCCACUCAAAGAAGAAAUGACUGAGUCCAAGUUCUCCAAGUACUCUGAAAUGAGUGAGGAAAAACGUACCAAACUUCUUGAAAUUGAGCUAAAAGUUAUGAAGUUUUAGGAUGAAUUGGAAUCUGGGAAAAGACCUAAGAAACCAGGCCAGUGUUUUCAGGAACAAGUAGAACACUACAGAGAUAAACUUCAUGAGAGAAAGAGAAAGAAUUAGAACAAGAAUGAGAAAGAGACAAGAAGGAUAAAGAAAAAUUGGAAUCUCCAUCCAAAGAUAAGAAGGAAAAAGAUGAAUGCACUCCAACAAGGAAAGAAAGGAAAAAGGAGACACAGUACAUCCCCCAGCCCAUCUCGCAGUAGCAGUGGUAGAUGAGUGAAAUCCCCAUCACCAAAAUCAGAGUGAUCAGAGCGUUCAGAAAGAUCUCAUAAGGAGAGCUCACGGUCGAGGUCAUUUCACAAAGAUUCUCCUAGAGACGUUAGCAAAAAAAACAAAAGAUCUCCAUCUGUUUCUUCCCUAAAAAAUCAGGGAAGAAAUCCAGAUCUCAGUCCUGAUCUCCACACUGGUCUCAUAAAAAGUCAAAGAAAAACAAACACUGACAUAAAUUUUUAAGAUUCUGUCACCUAUUGGAAAUGCAAUUUUGUUUUGUGCCUGAAUGGUCUGUUUUUUAAAAAAAACAAAACAAAAAUCAAAUGAAAGGCAUUCCUGGGGUUUUUUGUUUGUUUGUGAGUGCAUGUGUAAACUCCUGAGUGACUGCAUCUGUAGAUCUGUCAUUGUUUUAUAUUGUGUAAAUUAUGUUCGUUGUGGCUGUUACUCAAGAUGAAAUUUUUAUUGUGCUAAUGAAUUUCAUCAGAAGUGUGUAUAAUGGAUCUGCUGGCAGUAGUAGUAUUUUGUUUUAGGAUGUUGUGACUUAGCAAAAAUAAUACAGAUGUCUUCCCCCCUCUUUUGUAGAUUUGACAAUUUGAAUUAGAUUUCAAAUAAAAUCUGAAAAGAAAA